rnacentral:rRNA from 1 species
CCUACGGGUGGCUGCAGUGGGGAAUAUUGCUCAAUGGGGGAAACCCUGAUGCAGCGACGCCGCGUGAGUGAGGAAGGUUUUCGGUAUGUAAAGCCCUAUUAGCAGGGAAGAAAAUGACGGUACCUGACUAAGAAGCCCCGGCUAACUACGUGCCAGCAGCGGCGGGUAUACGCAGGGAGCAAGCGUUAUACGGAUUUACUGGGUGUAAGGGGAGCGUAGGCGGAUUUGCAAGUCUGAUGUGAAAAUCCUGGGCCUAACCCCGGAACUGCAUUGGAAACUGUAUAUCUAGAGUGUCGGAGAGGCAGGUGGAAUGCGUGGUGUAGCGGUGAAAUGCGUAGAUAUCAGGAGGAACACCGGUGGCGAAGGCGGCGUGCUGGACCAUGACUGACGUUGAGGCACGAAAGCGUGGGGAGCAAACAGGAUUAGAUACCCGAGUAGUC